AAUUUCCAUAAGGUGAAUACAGAAAGGAACUACAAGCAUUGGAAAUGAAUGGGGGAGUUUAAUUCAGCCGCGUUUCACUCCCACUGAGGAGGCAUACAGAUGGCUGCACAGAACUCAGCAAAAACAGAGCCAGGAGUCAGGGAGAGGGAGACUUCAACUGGGGUUUCGAGUGGAGUUGCUCAUUUAUUUCCCCCUGUAUCAGUCUGCCUCCUGGGAUAUCGCAUGGACAGGUACAGGCAAACAGUUCCAAAUAAGGGAAUGCAUGCUGUGCGAGUGUAAUGCUCUGCUUUCCUUAGUGGCAUGUUUUCAGCAAGUUUGCCAUGUGCUACAGCUGGCCUAGGCAGGAUUUUGCAAAAGGAAAGAAGAAUAUUCACACUAAGGUCCCUGAAGCCACACUUCUGCAAACUAGCAGCUACCAAAAAGAGUUAAGAGGAAUGAAGACACAGAGCCUUGUCUACUGUCUGUGGUCCACAACAGUCAGCACAAGAAAUUUAAGAAAGAAAUCUUGGCUGUAAUAAAUCAAUUUUUU
rnacentral:lncRNA from 1 species